AUGACUCGAAGCUCUGUCACGGCAUAAUCUCUUAUAAAUAAAUGUCAGUGUAGUCACUGAAUGCAGACUGGAUUUUUGCUUGACUACGGUGCUCAGCCUUCUAGACAAUAGUUAUGCUAAGGGAUUAUCUUUUAACAUAGUGCAGUUAUCUUCUUUGUUUGUUUUCUUUUUUCAUUAUUCACAUAAGCCAAGGGAAAUGAAAAGCAUCUUAUUUCAGGCAAAAAGGCCUGUGAAUGAUUAACUCUGGUUCCAUGCAUUGGGACUUUGCAUAGCAACCCCUUGGCUUGCAACGACAAAAAAGCUCAAGGCAGGAACAGCCGCCCAGGGACCUAAGACCAACGUUCUCAAAUGAAGGUGCUGUGUGUCUGUGAUCUGUCGAUGAGGGUAGCGAAGGACUACUCAAUCAAUUGGGGUGUACAAAGCGGAGUUUGAGACGGGCAUGCUGAUGCAAGAUGUGGGCUCCAUGGCCUCGGGCAGGUCUGCUCCUGUGGAUUUUCUGGGUACAGCCCUCCUUCCUGCUGCUUUCAUAGGCUGGUAAUGAGUGUCUGUGGC